rnacentral:rRNA from 1 species
CCUACGGGAGGCAGCAGUGGGGAAUAUUGCACAAUGGGGGAAACCCUGAUGCAGCGACGCCGCGUGAGCGAGGAAGUAUUUCGGUAUGUAAAGCUCUAUCAGCAGGGACGAAAAAAGACGGUACCUGACUAAGAAGCCCCGGCUAACUACGUGCCAGCAGCCGCGGUAAUACGUAGGGGGCAAGCGUUAUCCGGAUUUACUGGGUGUAAAGGGAGCGUAGACGGCAAGGCAAGCCAGAAGUGAAAGGGCAGGGCUCAACCCUGUACAUGCUUUUGGAACUGUGGUGCUAGAGUGCAGGAGAGGUAAGUGGAAUUCCUAGUGUAGCGGUGAAAUGCGUAGAUAUCAGGAGGAACACCGGCGGCGAAGGCGGCGUGCUGGACCGCGACUGACGUUGAGGCUCGAAAGCGUGGGGAGCGAACAGGAUUAGAUACCCUGGUAGUC